ACGACGAGGUUGAACGUGAUAUCUCCUCUAAAACAUCUGGUGGGUUGCUUAAAUAUCGGCUUCAAAAAGCUCAAGCAUGUCUGAAAGAUUUUUGCCGAUACGUACUGCAGAGGUUUAAAUUUAAACUUUUGAAAAACAUUUGCAAUUUGGUCAAUAGUUUCCAUUUUCAAGAUGAAGAAAUUGAACAGAGAUUUCUUUCGAAAGACGAGACCUUGGUCGUAAAGGACAAGUAAUGCAUUGAUUCUCAUUUCUCAACGAUCAACGACAACGAACUAGUAUGAUUUUACUUCGUACACGUUUAUAUGGUGUUAUGAA